GUGCUCGCUUCAGCAGCACAUAUAAUAAAACUGGAACAAUGCGGAGAGUAUUAGCAUGGCCCGUUUGCAAGAACACCACGCAAACCCGUGAAGCAUUCCAUAUUGAA
ensembl:snRNA U6 U6 spliceosomal RNA